rnacentral:rRNA from 1 species
ACGGGAGGCAGCAGUGGGGAAUCUUCCGCAAUGGACGAAAGUCUGACGGAGCAACGCCGCGUGAGUGAUGAAGGCUUUCGGGUCGUAAAACUCUGUUGUUAGGGAAGAACAAGUGCUAGUUGAAUAAGCUGGCACCUUGACGGUACCUAACCAGAAAGCCACGGCUAACUACGUGCCAGCAGCCGCGGUAAUACA